rnacentral:rRNA from 1 species
GAUGAACGCUGGCGGCGUGCCUAAUACAUGCAAGUCGAGCGAACGGACGAGAAGCUUGCUUCUCUGAUGUUAGCGGCGGACGGGUGAGUAACACGUGGAUAACCUACCUAUAAGACUGGGAUAACUUCGGGAAACCGUAGCUAAUACCGGAUAAUAUUUUGAACCGCAUGGUUCAAAAGUGAAAGACGGUCUUGCUGUCACUUAUAGAUGGAUCCGCGCUGCAUUAGCUAGUUGGUAAGGUAACGGCUUACCAAGGCAACGAUGCAUAGCCGACCUGAGAGGGUGAUCGGCCACACUGGAACUGAGACACGGUCCAGACUCCUACGGGAGGCAGCAGCAGGGAAUCUUACGCAAUGGGCGAAAGCCUGACGGAGCAACGCCGCGUGAGUGAUGAAGGUCUUCGGAUCGUAAAACUCUGUUAUUAGGGAAGAACAUAUGUGUAAGUAACUGUGCACAUCUUGACGGUACCUAAUCAGAAAGCCACGGCUAACUAUGUG